GAUGAACGCUGGCGGCGUGCCUAAUACAUGCAAGUCGAGCGAACGGACGAGAAGCUUGCUUUUCUGAUGUUAGCGGCGGACGGGUGAGUAACACGUGGAUAACCUACCUAUAAGACUGGGAUAACUUCGGGAAACCGGAGCUAAUACCGGAUAAUAUUUUGAACCGCAUGGUUCAAUAGUGAAAGACGGUCUUGCUGUCACUUAUAGAUGGAUCCGCGCUGCAUUAGCUAGUUGGUAAGGUAACGGCUUACCAAGGCAACGAUGCAUAGCCGACCUGAGAGGGUGAUCGGCCACACUGGAACUGAGACACGGUCCAGACUCCUACGGGAGGCAGCAGUAGGGAAUCUUCCGCAAUGGGCGAAAGCCUGACGGAGCAACGCCGCGUGAGUGAUGAAGGUCCUCGGAUCGUAAAACUCUGUUAUUAGGGAAGAACAUAUGUGUAAGUAACUGUGCACAUCUUGACGGUACCUAAUCAGAAAGCCACGGCUAACUACGUG
rnacentral:rRNA from 1 species